GUUGAUGAAAGCUGACAGCAGAGGCGAGAAAACAGCCAACGCUCUCCGCGCGUGAUAAAACCAUUACAAUCAAUUUAGGCAGCUCGCAGGCGCGCAGACAGACUCUGUGUCGACUGGAUUCUGUUACGAGGAGCGGGCAUCAUGUUCUGCCUUGGAAGAGUGGCAAAGAUUUAGCCACAAGUGCUGACCCUGGACCAGGAUCCAGCUGAUGGAGAGCAGCAAGGGGGGUGAGCCUGACGAUUCUGAGUGAGCAUCUGCUCAAAGUGAGGCACUACGGAGACUAUUACUGCAAUUGUGGAAUCCAACCAGUUUAAGAGAGCAGCUUCGGACCCACUUCCAAACUCCAUCUUCCAGAUGAGGAAGCAGAGUCUCCAAGAAGGGAAGUCGCUUCCACAGGGCCAUGCAAUCAGUGUCUGGUCAGGCCUGGAUGUGAAGCCAGAUCUGUUAAACCUCCAAGUUGAAAUGGUGACCUCUGAUCAUGUCCAGUGGAAGCCUCAGGAAAAUCUCAGGGAAUCCUUGGGCUCUGGGGGACUCCAUUUGAAAAGCACUGGCCUCCGUUUCUUCUAAAUCCAAGAAUCUGUAAUUUUAGGUUGUUGGAUGUUUGAGCUCCAUAAUCCCCUCUGCUGCUCACUGUAAAAAUCUCAAGGAGGAAAUAAAGAACCGACCGAGGGAGAGACCAGAACACAAGCCUGGUUGGUAUUUCUUUGGCCACCACUUGCCAGGUAAGUAGCCUCCUACUGCAGGCAGGGUGCAUUUUGGUGAUAAUUCCUGGGUUCAGAUCUGAGCUCCGCUGCUCCAAUUGCUGUGUGACCUUGGGCAAGUACCUUGAUGUCUCUGAGCCUCAGCUUAUGUACUUAUU